rnacentral:rRNA from 1 species
CGGGAGCUGUCAGGUGCUGCAUGGCUGUCGUCAGCUCGUGUCGUGAGAUGUUCGGUUAAGUCCGCUAACGAGCGCAACCCUCGCUGUGUGUUACAAGUGUCACACGGAACUGCCGGUCAUAAACCGGAGGAAGGUGGGGAUGACGUCAAGUCAGCAUGGCCUUUAUAUCCUGGGCUACACACACGCUACAAUGGGAAGGGACAAUAGGUUGCGAAGCCGCGAGGCGGAGCCAAUCCAGCAAAACUUCCCUCAGUUCAGAUUGCAGGCUGCAACUCGCCUGCAUGAAGUUGGAGUUGCUAGUAAACCGCACGGUCAGCCAUUACUGCGUUGAAUACGUUCCCGGGCUU